UAAUGAUGAUUUAAAGCUUUUUUUUUUAACCCAGACUAGUCUCUGUUAAGUUCCUUGUUUUAUGUCCAAGUAAAGGCUUUUCCCAGGUGUCUCCAAGUCUCUAUUUAAGAGGUGGGGGAGGGAUAAAAGGCUGAAACACCAAGCUAAGUGUGGGCUUGUUAAGCGUUGAAGUAGUGGAUGGGAUCUUUGGGGGGUGUCUUUUUUCUUUAGGUCUGUCCACUUUGGACAUGUCAGACUCUUCCAAAUUCCUACCUGGAGGUAAAGACCUACUAGAAGCCUCCUGGGACUGCAGCCUUCAUCAGGUUCCAAGUAGGAGGGCCAGGCCACAGUGUGAAACGCUCUUAGCAGAAUCCUGCUGGGGUGACAAGGCAGAAGAAAAAGGCAGAUGGCUCCCUACUGCCCUUAGGAUGACAUCCAAAUGGGCUGCCUGCUGCAUGAACAAAGGCCGUCCUCAGCCUGCCUCUGGGCACUGCUCCAGCCAUGCCCUUGUCAUGUGCAGCCCAUCGCAACCACAAGAACUCUGCAGCCCUUGGAAGAGGUCUCCUGGGACCCCAGGCUACCCCCUCAACAGAGAACAUUCUUCCCUCUUAGCCAACUCGUACGCAUCCCUCAGAACUUAGAUGUCACCUCCUCCGGGAAGCUGUCCCAGAAUGCCUCAGAGGAGAAGCAGCAGGUCUUAACUGUUAGGCGUUCAGGCACAGUUGGGUUAGACUCCCACCUGCUAGCUGUAUUAAUGGCCUCGGGCUGCUGAAACAAAGUACCACAAGCUGGCUGUUUCAAACAACUGAAAUUUCUUGUCACGUAAUUCUGGAUGCUUAACGUCCCAAAUCCAGGUGUCAGCAGAGCAGAUGCUUUCUGAGGGCUGUGAGGGAGAAUCUGUUCUGUGCCGGUCUCUCAGCUUGCCUUGUAGAGGCCCUUCUCCCUGUGCCCUUGCAUCAUCUUCCCUCUAUGUGACAUCUGUGUCCAAAUGUCCCCAUUUUAUAAGGACACGAGUCAUAUUGAAUUAGAGCUUAGCCUAAUGACCUCAUCUUAACUUAAUUACCUCUGUAAAAAGGCCUGUCUCCAACUAAGAUUGUAUUCUCAAGUUCUGGGGGUGGGUUAGGAUUUCAAUGUAUCUAUUGUGAGAGACACAAUUCAAUGCAUUACACUACUAGUUGACCUUGA